rnacentral:rRNA from 1 species
GUCUUUUUGAGUUAUUUUUAAAGUCUGACCUGCCCACUGAAUUUAUUUUAAAUGGCCGCAGUAUUCUAACUGUGCAAAGGUAGCAUAAUCAUUAGUCUUUUAAUUGAAGGCUGGUAUGAACGGUUGGACGAGGUAUAAGCUGUUUCAUAUAAAUUUAUAAUAGAAUUUUAUAUUUUAGUCAAAAAGCUAAAAUGUAAUUAAAAGACGAGAAGACCCUAUAAAUCUUUAUAAUUUAUAUAAUUUAAAUUUUUUGGAUUUUGUUUUAUUUUUAUUGUAUAAAUUAUUUUGUUGGGGUGAUGUUAAAAUUUAAUGAACUUUUAAUUGAAUUUAAAUCAUUAAUUUAUGAAUUAUUGAUCCAUUAGUAGUGAUUAUAAGAUUAAGUUACUUUAGGGAUAACAGCGUAAUUUUUUUGGAGAGUUCAUAUCGAUAAAAAAGUUUGCGACCUCGAUGUUGGAUUAAGAUAUAAUUUUAGGUGUAGCCGCUUAAAUGUUAAGUCUGUUCGACUUUUAAAUUCUU